rnacentral:lncRNA from 1 species
AGAGGAAGAUGUCAAAGGACGAAAAGCAAUGGGCUAGACAAAGACUGGCUCACUGGAUGUGGAGGGUCUGGAUAGAAGCUGAGUCCUAAUUGCAUCAAGCUGGGAUAAGGCCCCCCUUAUAGAAAGUCAGAGCGCAUCUAGAUCAGCAGAUAUGAAGUCUCUGGAGUUCCUGAUGUCUGCUCAAAGCAGCUCAAGAGAAGAAUAAAGCUGGCUAUGGAG